GUUGAUGUUUAUUUUUUUGUUCAGAGAAAUAAAAUGCAAAAUAAAAAAUAUUCGGUGAUACCAAAUUACCAACUUUUGUCAUUAUGAUAAAGUCUAUAUGUAUUUUAAAAAUUGAGGAGUAAUAAUAUGAUGAUGCAAGUCUGUGAGAAAUUAAGAACUAUAUAGCAGUUGGUGUGAUUGACUUAUGCCCUAACUACAAGAUAAUUUUGGGCCUUUUGUCUGUUACUUUUGGAGGAAAAGUUGUGUGAUACAAUAAAUGUAGCGACGUGAUAAGUGAGAUUAUUAUUAAUAUUAAAUAAAGGAAGACGAUUCUUCUAAUAUGGUGAGCUUUAUCAAGGAAUACUAAAAACAACUGGAAGUGCGUCUUAAAAUCGUGCUCAUUUUUUUCCACACGAUGAGGCUGACACAUUCUUCCUUAGUUUAAUGAAUUAUAAUAAACUUGAGGAAAACUUGGUUCAUUAAAGUUAAUUAAUUUUUUUUCUUAUUACUUAAAAAAUAAUGGUGUAAAAAUGUUCUACUCCUGAAUGCAAGCAGGGACAUGACGGCAUUACUAAUAAUCCGGAUAUGAGCUUUCACAAAUUCCCCAUAAAAGGCUCCAAAAAUCUAACCAAAUGGCCUAGGGCCAUGCCAAGAAAUAUGAUUGACUAGACACCAACAGCGAAUUCAAGACUAUGCAGUCUGCACUCUAAAGUGGCUGAUUUUGUCACUGAAUCUUUAGAUCAAUCCCGUAAUAAAGGAAAAUCUAAAUAACUCCAACGAAGGUGGUUGAAAGAUGAUGCCAUCCCAUAAAAGUGGCUGAAUCUGCCAAGCUAUCUCUCAUUAGCAUCACUGCCUCCAAGACCAACAAAUGCAUCAACUAGCACAAAAAGAGUGCAUUUGGAGAAUGAAAGACAAGAAGAUCUGGAGUAUGCAGAAGAGACCGUUCUGUCAGCACAAGAUAUGUAUGACAAACUCUCUUCGUAAUCAUUGCCCUUUGGGUUCUGGUUGCUUAAAACUCCAAAAGUUGCACUUGUCCAAAUGAUACAUUCAGAUAUGAAAGGGCUAGAUAUUGCAGCUUCCUGGAAGUGGAAGAAGACAUAUCCUUAGGAUCUUCUGUAACAAUAUCGAACUAAAUAAGAGCUUAGUAUCACACUACAUAAAUUCAGACACUAAAAUUAACUCCUGUACUGAAGCUAUCAAUAGUGUUGCUUUUCUGGGCUCCAUGGACAGCGAAAUAAACAUUUGACAUAUGUGAACACUUCUUAAUUCCUUCAACUUAGCAUUAAUGGACCAGGUUCAAUCUUCCAAAUUCUCAUUCAUAAUAGGACUAAUGUCUCAUCUCUUCUAACAUCCUAAAAGUAAAAGAAUUAUUUUGUGCUCCUUCCCGUUGCUUUGAUAUGGCACAACGUCUAUUCACAAAGUCAAACUUCUGAAAUGGUUGUAUGAUUUACGAUAACAGGAAUGGCUUGCAGUUACCAAGAAAUAGUUUGCAUGUUAUCUAAGUUACAUAUUUAAGAUAUCUGCCUAGCUAGUACAAAAAAGAAUAAACUAAAAGUGAAUUCUUCUUGUCAUAUCAAUUUGUGAUGUCUAUACUAACAAUAGGAAUUAAGUAAAUGUAAUAAGUUCUAAAGAAAUGAAAAACUUAGUAUUUAACAAAUAUCCAAAGGCUACUACUUAAACAUAAAUUGUUUCCUUAUUUGACACCUCAUUCAUGUCCAUCUAUACAAAGGCAAAAAAUGACUGUAAAAAUAGAUCAAUAUGACAUGCAAAUUGUAGGUCAUUUCAGACUAUUAUGGAAAAUCUACUAGGACUAUCAGGAUCUUCAACAACAGCAAGGAAUGGUAUUUUAUAUUUGCUGAUAUUUAUCACAAUCAUUGUUAAUAUUUCAACAGAAAAUUAUAACUUUCAGUGAAUUCUUCAUCGUCUUAUCAAUUAUGAUGCCCAUACCAACAAAAAUAAUUCAGUGAAUAUACUAAGUUGUAUUUCA
rnacentral:lncRNA from 1 species